CCUACGGGAGGCUGCAGUGGGGAAUAUUGGACAAUGGGCGAAAGCCUGAUCCAGCCAUGCCGCGUGUGUGAAGAAGGCCUUCGGGUUGUAAAGCACUUUCAGUGGGGAAGAAAGCCUUGGGGCUAAUACCCUCGAGGAAGGACAUCACCCACAGAAGAAGCACCGGCUAACUCCGUGCCAGCAGCCGCGGUAAUACGGAGGGUGCGAGCGUUAAUCGGAAUUACUGGGCGUAAAGCGCGCGUAGGCGGUCUGAUAAGCCGGUUGUGAAAGCCCCGGGCUCAACCUGGGAACGGCAUCCGGAACUGUCAGGCUAGAGUGCAGGAGAGGAAGGUAGAAUUCCCGGUGUAGCGGUGAAAUGCGUAGAGAUCGGGAGGAAUACCAGAGGCGAAGGCGGCCUUCUGGACUGACACUGACGCUGAGGUGCGAAAGCGUGGGUAGCAAACAGGAUUAGAUACCCCAGUAGUC
rnacentral:rRNA from 1 species